AGAGUUUGAUCCUGGCUCAGGAUGAACGCUGGCGGCGUGCCUAAUACAUGCAAGUCGAGCGAACGGACGAGAAGCUUGCUUCUCUGAUGUUAGCGGCGGACGGGUGAGUAACACGUGGAUAACCUACCUAUAAGACUGGGAUAACUUCGGGAAACCGGAGCUAAUACCGGAUAAUAUUUUGAACCGCAUGGUUCAAAAGUGAAAGACGGUCUUGCUGUCACUUAUAGAUGGAUCCGCGCUGCAUUAGCUAGUUGGUAAGGUAACGGCUUACCAAGGCAACGAUGCAUAGCCGACCUGAGAGGGUGAUCGGCCACACUGGAACUGAGACACGGUCCAGACUCCUACGGGAGGCAGCAGUAGGGAAUCUUCCGCAAUGGGCGAAAGCCUGACGGAGCAACGCCGCGUGAGUGAUGAAGGUCUUCGGAUCGUAAAACUCUGUUAUUAGGGAAGAACAUAUGUGUAAGUAACUGUGCACAUCUUGACGGUACCUAAUCAGAAAGCCACGGCUAACUACGUGCCAGCAGCCGCGGUAAUACGUAGGUGGCAAGCGUUAUCCGGAAUUAUUGGGCGUAAAGCGCGCGUAGGCGGUUUUUUAAGUCUGAUGUGAAAGCCCACGGCUCAACCGUGGAGGGUCAUUGGAAACUGGAAAACUUGAGUGCAGAAGAGGAAAGUGGAAUUCCAUGUGUAGCGGUGAAAUGCGCAGAGAUAUGGAGGAACACCAGUGGCGAAGGCGACUUUCUGGUCUGUAACUGACGCUGAUGUGCGAAAGCGUGGGGAUCAAACAGGAUUAGAUACCCUGGUAGUCCACGCCGUAAACGAUGAGUGCUAAGUGUUAGGGGGUUUCCGCCCCUUAGUGCUGCAGCUAACGCAUUAAGCACUCCGCCUGGGGAGUACGACCGCAAGGUUGAAACUCAAAGGAAUUGACGGGGACCCGCACAAGCGGUGGAGCAUGUGGUUUAAUUCGAAGCAACGCGAAGAACCUUACCAAAUCUUGACAUCCUUUGACAACUCUAGAGAUAGAGCUUUCCCCUUCGGGGGACAAAGUGACAGGUGGUGCAUGGUUGUCGUCAGCUCGUGUCGUGAGAUGUUGGGUUAAGUCCCGCAACGAGCGCAACCCUUAAGCUUAGUUGCCAUCAUUAAGUUGGGCACUCUAAGUUGACUGCCGGUGACAAACCGGAGGAAGGUGGGGAUGACGUCAAAUCAUCAUGCCCCUUAUGAUUUGGGCUACACACGUGCUACAAUGGACAAUACAAAGGGCAGCGAAACCGCGAGGUCAAGCAAAUCCCAUAAAGUUGUUCUCAGUUCGGAUUGUAGUCUGCAACUCGACUACAUGAAGCUGGAAUCGCUAGUAAUCGUAGAUCAGCAUGCUACGGUGAAUACGUUCCCGGGUCUUGUACACACCGCCCGUCACACCACGAGAGUUUGUAACACCCGAAGCCGGUGGAGUAACCUUUUAGGAGCUAGCCGUCGAAGGUGGGACAAAUGAUUGGGGUGAAGUCGUAACAAGGUAGCCGUAUCGGAAGGUGC
rnacentral:rRNA from 1 species